rnacentral:rRNA from 1 species
AAAUUGAAGAGUUUGAUCAUGGCUCAGAUUGAACGCUGGCGGCAGGCCUAACACAUGCAAGUCGAACGGUAACAGGAAGCAGCUUGCUGCUUUGCUGACGAGUGGCGGACGGGUGAGUAAUGUCUGGGAAACUGCCUGAUGGAGGGGGAUAACUACUGGAAACGGUAGCUAAUACCGCAUAACGUCGCAAGACCAAAGAGGGGGACCUUCGGGCCUCUUGCCAUCGGAUGUGCCCAGAUGGGAUUAGCUAGUAGGUGGGGUAACG